UAUUCGUUGGUGUAUAGGCACUAAAAGUUUUGAUCUUUUUAGAGAUGGUGUAAUUCCGUCACGUAUAA
rnacentral:tRNA from 1 species